rnacentral:rRNA from 1 species
GAUGAACGCUGGCGGCGUGCCUAAUACAUGCAAGUAGAACGCUGAAGGAGGAGCUUGCUCUUCUGGAUGAGUUGCGAACGGGUGAGUAACGCGUAGGUAACCUGCCUGGUAGCGGGGGAUAACUAUUGGAAACGAUAGCUAAUACCGCAUGACAACAGUUAUUGCAUGAUAACCGUUUAAAAGGGGCACCUGCUCCACUACCAGAUGCACCUGCGUUGUAUUCGCUUAUUGGUGAGGUAACGGCUCACCAACGCGACGGUACAUAUCCUACCUGAGAGGGUGAUCGGCCACAAUGGGACUGAGACACGGCCCAGACCCCUAAGGGAGGCAGCAGUAGGGGAUCUUCGGCAAAGGACGGAAGUCUGACCGAGCAAAGCCGCGGGAGUGAAGAAGGGUUUCGGAUCGUAAAGCUCUGUUGUAAGAGAAGAAAGAGUGUGAGAGUGGAAAGUUCACACUGUGACGGUAUCUUACCAGAAAGCACCGGCUAACUACGUG